rnacentral:rRNA from 1 species
GACGAACGCUGGCGGCGUGCCUAAUACAUGCAAGUGGAACGAGAGCGACCGGUGCUUGCACUGGUCAAUCUAGUGGCGAACGGGUGAGUAACACGUGGGUAACCUGCCCAUCAGAGGGGGAUAACAUCCGGAAACGGAUGCUAAAACCGCAUAGGUCUUCGAGCCGCAUGGCUUGAAGAGGAAAAGAGGCGCAAGCUUCUGCUGAUGGAUGGACCCGCGGUGCAUUAGCUAGUUGGGGAGGUAACGGCUCACCAAGGCCGUGAUGCAUAGCCGACCUGAGAGGGUGAUCGGCCACAUUGGGACUGAGACACGGCCCAAACUCCUACGGGAGGCAGCAGUAGGGAAUCUUCCGCAAUGGACGCAAGUCUGACGGAGCAACGCCGCGUGAGUGAAGAAGGUUUUCGGAUCGUAAAACUCUGUUGUUAGAGAAGAACAAGUGCUAGAGUAACUGUUAGCGCCUUGACGGUAUCUAACCAGAAAGCCACGGCUAACUACGUG